CCGUUAUCUGGAGCUCCGCAAUCCUAGUGGUCCCGAAUUGCUUCUCGUUCUGGGUCCAGAAAACCAUUAAAUAAACGGAUGAAUGACUUGCCGAAGAAAUACCCAAUAUCCGACCCGGAAAACAAGUCUCCUUGAGGAGGGAGGCUCAAGUGCAGGGCUAUUUGCACCACUCUGAAUGAGAAAGUGGAGCAUAACGGGUAGCUUAUCACAUGGGGGCAUCCAAAUGGGACACACAGGCCACAUGCUAAGAAAUAUCCAUAAGAGAAAGCAUAUAAACUGAGUAUCCUUUGGCAGUGGGCUCUGAUGGACGAGGCUGAAAAUACAAUGCAAGGUGGCUAGGGUGCAUCACCAUUUAGCCUCAUAACUCCAAAGCCCCAUCUGUUUCAUGGUUGGGUUUUAUGUGAAAAUGACUGUUCUAUGUAUAUUAAUUCUUUGAUAUAGUUAGGGUUAUUUCUUCUUAGGUCACUAUUAAAAAGUGUGAGAAAAGAUGGUCGUUAUAUAUAAAUUGUAAAAUGAUUGAAAAGAGAAUGCGCAAAUGAUUAUAAUUAAGCAGGACUAUCAUUUUGAUGUAAA